rnacentral:lncRNA from 10 species
UUGAUUUCUAUCGUUGGCAAUUUGUGGGCCCUGGAUAAGUGUUUGCUAUUUGCAUGUGUCUGGGGAAGCACCCUAGGAUACUAAGUGUCUUUCAGAUUUCCAAGUCUCUUCUGGUGUGCUGAGGUAUAUUUCAAUGUCUUCUCUCCGCUGAGGAUGACAGGGAGGACUCACGUAGCCACAUUGGCAAUGUUCUUUCAGAAGCACUAUUUGGGAACCUUGGAGCCUCUGGAAGAUGAACACCAUACCAUCCACAAUGUCAGGAUGAAAGUAGCUUCACUUCCCUGGGGUUCACGCCGUGGACAGUGCAACCUUCAGAUGCAAGGCUGAGCAUGAUUCAUUUAAAUCCCACCUGGAACUAUUCAAACAGCAAAGGACAACCCAGACCCCUGAGAGGAGAAGGUGAUCAAGCAGCACCGGUGACAGCAUUCAGCUGAUAAAUGUGAGUAAAGCCCCAGUACAUGGGAGAGGCAGUCUUCCUCUGGGACUCAUCUUUUUACUAGGGAUUUCUGUACCCCAGAACAUGGGCAAGCACCCUGUUUCAAGCCCUACAGCUAACUUGGGAGAAACUGAAAGAUGGAGAGAGGGAAAGACACUGGGAAAAGCUACAGGCACUUUUCCCAGCCCUGGCACUGAGAGGAGAACAUCAUUUUAAAUCUGGGCUCAUGCAAAGUCAGACAGUGCUUGGUGACCUGGCAGCCACUGCCACAGC